rnacentral:rRNA from 1 species
UACGUAGGGGGCAAGCGUUGUCCGGAAUUAUUGGGCGUAAAGAGCGCGUAGGCGGUCCGAUAAGUCGGCUGUGAAAGUCCAGGCUCAACCCUGGAAAGCCGGCCGAUACUGUCGGACUAGAGUCCGGAAGAGGCAAGUGGAAUUCCCGGUGUAGCGGUGAAAUGCGCAGAUAUCGGGAGGAACACCAAUUGCGAAGGCAGCUUGCUGGGACGGUACUGACGCUGAGGCGCGAAAGCGUGGGGAGCAAACAGG